UACUAGAUGCUUAGGUAUCGCCCAAAACCCAAGGUCGAAAAGGAGCUGUCCACGGCCGAAAGAAGGAUGACGUUGGAUCUCAAGGUGGACAAAGAUUUGUAUCUGUGCCAUAUGCUGUCGCGGACAGCCUUUGAAAAUGAAAAAUACCGUGCAGUGUCCGAUACGCUGACAUUCUGUGUGCAGCUGAAUGGUCAGGUGAAUUCCGGACCCUGGGCACAGAUGGAAAAAACGGACAAGCUCUGCGCUGAAGGUAGGAGGGUGAUGGUCAUGACGGGGAUCUGUGGCGGACAAUUUCAUAAAAGUCCGUCACAGAACACGGCAUGUCGUACCAUCUUCCUACCAAGCAAGCUGUACCGCAUGCGGCUGGUGAGGUACGGCGAAGCGUGGCGCGCAAUGGCCAUCUGCCUGGAGAACUCACCCCCGACGGGCAAACACUUCCCAGAUGACACCAUCUAACAAUGGAGCAUCUGUGGACUCAGGCGCGGGAUACCGUCGGGGUUGAGUUCUUGGCCGAAAUAACAUCCGUCAACGGCGUGGAUUUUAACGCCGUUGCCUUCGUAGCCGGCUUGAACUUGCGUGACCAGUCAAGGUUAAAAACUUCCAAAACGAUUCAUUAGAGUUAAGUUCCAGAGAAUAACGAAACGUUUAAUCGAGAUGACACGCUGCCUACAACGAUCUUAUUGAAAAAGCGCCAUUCCUUCGUCGGUGAUUGGAAAGCCGUCAAGUUAUUGAGCAGGAAUACAGCCAAACGGUUGUUUAUAAAUGCAGCUCAGUCUUGGUGUGCAUCAAGCAAAAUUCCAGAGAGAAGUGAAGUUCGCGUGCAGGGAAAGUCCCGUGGGAGGAAGGAUGCAACCGGGUGCCAAUUCGCACACAUAUCAUCAUCACAUGUGGUAUGUGUGGCAUGCUCAGAGAAUAGUUUGCUCUCAAAUCUUGCAAUCUACUGCCGAGAUGCGAAUAUGUGUGAUUCGCGAGAAUGCAGCACACAAAUAUGUACAUGCUUCAGUUGACGGAAGAUAGUACAUCAAUUUCUGCACACUUCGCGCUCAAGGACGCGCUUUGUUUUCGUUGUCAGUCGUAAAAAAGUGGGAUGAAACUGCUCCCAAACUGCUCGGAAUGAAGCCUACGAUUUGUGUACUGCUGCUCGGCCUGCUGGGCAUGGCAUCGUGUCACGGAAUCAGCACCCUAACCGCGCAGAGCGGCGGACCAGGAACAACCGCGGACUGGUCAAAGGGUCGUCGACAGGGCACACUAAUCGAACGGAUUAUCAUCAGCGCUAACGAAAUACCGACGGAUAGGCCGUCUGGUGGGGUGGUCAUGUUCUCCGGGGACUCGGUGCAGCUGGAGCGCAUGCAGAGAGCGCAAGCGAGGCGACGCGGCUGGACGACCUCGCUGUCGGAAGGACUCCGGGCUUCGACCGCAAGGCAUGGCACGGUGGCAGCGGUAACGAACGGUCGGACGUUAGAUCCGACCGAAUCGAGGCGUGACCUGGACGGAUCACUCUUUGAUCAAGUCUGCGCCUAGAAUUGGAAGAGAAUCUUCGAGAGAGAGUUCCUACAUAUCUGUGGAAAAAAUGUGUGGUCUAUGAAGCCAUUGCUGAGACACAUAAGAUUGCAGUUUUAUCUUUGAAUAUGUCUAUUUUAAAUAUGUAUACAUGUUUCUUCAUGGUGUUACAAAAAACUUUAUACUCUGAUCUUUUAUGACAAAUAACGAUGUAUAACUAACCAUUAUUUCUAUAAACAUGAUGUUUAAAUUUUACAAUGUAA